CAGAAUCUCCAUGCACUUGCUUCAUCGUGUCAUUACAAUCCAUCUGACUGACGAGGGGAAAGAAGGAGCUGAGGGUCAAGAAGCUCACUUGGACCACUGAGAGAGACACGGAGACCUAGACAAACUGCAAAAAAGAGAUCCUUGAAAGAAGAAAGAUGAGAGGCAGGCAGAAACGUUGGAGGCAAAACAGAGUCUACAGUAUCAGCGGAGGGAGGGCUCCUUAUUCUUCGGACAUUGUUUUCUGUUAUGUUGGUGUCAUGUGGACUCUGCAGUGGCACUGGCAAAACUGUGGAUACAUCAAGAAUAAGACAGGACAUUUAAGCAAAUAGACAGAAAUGGGACCUGUAGUGAAGGAAUGCUGUGAGAGAUGAUCCUCCGAUGACCUGGAGGUGACUCCUCCUCCCGACCCAGACUUCCCGCAGCAACCUGAGACAUUUUUUUGGUGAAGUUUAAACCAACAGAAUACCACUACAGUCUCUGUAGUCCUAUAUUGGCGUGUUUGUAACAUUGGAGAUUUUGGAGUUUUAAACUUCACAUGAGAAAAACACAACACACUGGUAAAAAGAAGGUUCUUGAUGUUAAAUCUGUUUUAAGGUGACAGGUUGCAGCUUUAUUAAACAACCAAACCUGCCCUAUUAUACACCUGGAUAUCAUGAUGUGAUGUUCAUUGUAGUCCACAACUUUAAGUACCGUUAAAGUUUUCCUACUUUUCUAUACGUAUCUUAUCUUGUUUGCUUCCACUUAUUUUGUGAUUAACACUUCAAACUUCCUUAAAGAAGAGAGAUGUUAACUUGUUCUGUUUCAGUCCAAGCCGGGUUGGGCCACAGAUAGUUAUGAUUGGCAGUAAUUGGGAUUUGUUGAUAAAUGCUGUUAUUCUCAGCUAAGCAAAAUAUAUAUACGAUAAAUUACAAAUAGCUGUUGAGUAUUUUUGAGUGGAUUUUCUCUUUAACAGUCUAUGGUCAUCAUGGCACUUUUAGAAACUCUUUGAUUGGAUUAUUGUCAAACAUAGUGAACAACUUACAAAUUACAAAUUACAUGUAUAUAAAAGAUAUUAUUACAAAAAAUAACUUUUCUGGUGUUCACCCAAAAAGUCAGUGUGGCACACAACACUGUCAAACAACAGAACAAAAGUUUGGAAUUGUUUUGUAAUUAAUUUGACAGAUUACAUUUAUGUUGUAAAUUAAAUGUAAAUCGCUUACCAACAAAUAUGGUUCCAAGAAGUGGUAAGAAAAGCAAGCAACCAAAACCAGUUAUGGUCCACCUUUUUGACUGCAGAGCCCCAAAACAAGCUGUCCUCUUCAUCAUAGUAGAAAGCCAAAUGCAGCACUGGAGAAGGAUCAUUACAAUGCUCCAGUUUUAAACAAUACACAAUAGACCAGACAUGAAAUAAUGGGUAUUACAUUUCAGUCGGUCUUUGUCUCUUCAGAAAGGCUGGGGGAGUGGUGGUUCAAUGUGGGGAAAGAUACUAAAAUAUCAUGUAGUUUAUUUGUUAUACUUACGUAAUACAAAGACAACUUCUCAUGAAAAACAGGGAACAAGAUACUGUGAAAAUGAACAACAACAAAAAACAUUAAUUAAACACAUGGAAGAAUAAUAUAAUAUGCAGUAAAGCAACAACACCAGCUUAGAUUCAUGUUACUGACAUUACGGAUAAUGUGAACUGUGUGCAGUAGAUUUAUAAAAUUUACACAGACUUUAAAAUGUGUUAGUUUUGUUGCCUUGAGUCCAAAAAAUAAAAAUGAUGCUUGUAACGGGAGAGAAUUUGCAGUUAAUAUCCAUGCGUCGGUUGAGGAAUGUGCCUUUGUAAACUGGGGCAAGCUCAUUAAGCAGACAACAGAACAGGUUUUUAGAGUUGUUAUGACACUUCUAAACAAAUCCCUGAAAUAAGAACAUCACACAGUGGGUUUACUGAGUGUGCCUGGAUUUUAAUUUUCUUUUUUUGUAUAACACACUAAAUGCGACUAUUAUCUAAGUUAACACUAGUCUUAAAACAUAUGAAAUUAUUCAAGCAAGUAAAGUCAAUUUUAUUUAUAGAGGCUUUUACAAUCUGGCAUUAAGAGGCUUUACAAUCUGUGCAGUAUACACCAUCCUCCGUCCUUUUGAUACCCUCAAUUCAGAAAGAAAAACUCUCCAAAAACCCUUAUGAUUACAUCAGAUCCAUUGAUAUAAUCCGGCUUAUUCUUUGAUUGAUCUUCCUAACAACAGUAUUGCUAUUAGGUUUGUAACAUUAUGUGCUGUGAAAAACCCCAAACCUAACCUAACUUCUCUUCUUCGUCUACUUUGAAAACUUUGGAGGAAUUUCUUUUUAUUUAUUUGUUUUGUCAAGGCAAUGCAGCGCACAUUAUUACAUGCAUGUUUAUUACAGUCAAAGCCAUAACAAUAUGUGUAGAUGUGUUGCAUAAAAAGUUUCUAGCCAAUAGGCUAAUUUGCAAUCCCAGUUCCUGGUCAGGCCUUUUAAAAAAAAUAAAAAAAAUAAACCAGAUAUAAUACAGGCAGGCAUCUAGCACAGACAAUACAUUACAACAAGGAAAACAGAGUAUGUGCAAGAAUGUGUGUACGUGCACCUGCUCCUGCAUUCAUGGACCUUAGUCACUGGAUACAUGUUUGGUUAUCUUUCAGCCAGUCUUUAACCGUUCUAUUAAAUGUUUUCAGUUCGACUUGUGUUUGUUUUUCAGUUGGUCAAUUUUUUACAAAAAUGGGGCCCUAUCACUGAAAAACAUGACUGGCUGAAAGUGGUUUUGCGCUCCUCUGCUAAGCUGUUGCCACCCACUGCUCCCUUUGUGGCCACUCUCCUUGUAUUUAUUUUUGUCGUCAAAGGACAGACUAGAUUAUUUGCACAUUUAAAAAUCAAUUUAAGAAAAGAGAACUUAAUGAAGCUAUCACAAUUUAAAAGGUUGUAUUUCUGGACAAUC